rnacentral:rRNA from 1 species
GACGAACGCUGGCGGCGUGCCUAAUACAUGCAAGUAGAACGCUGAAGAGAGGAGCUUGCUCUUCUUGGAUGAGUUGCGAACGGGUGAGUAACGCGUAGGUAACCUGCCUUGUAGCGGGGGAUAACUAUUGGAAACGAUAGCUAAUACCGCAUAACAAUGGAUGACACAUGUCAUUUAUUUGAAAGGGGCAAUUGCUCCACUACAAGAUGGACCUGCGUUGUAUUAGCUAGUAGGUGAGGUAACGGCUCACCUAGGCGACGAUACAUAGCCGACCUGAGAGGGUGAUCGGCCACACUGGGACUGAGACACGGCCCAGACUCCUACGGGAGGCAGCAGUAGGGAAUCUUCGGCAAUGGGGGCAACCCUGACCGAGCAACGCCGCGUGAGUGAAGAAGGUUUUCGGAUCGUAAAGCUCUGUUGUAAGUCAAGAACGAGUGUGAGAGUGGAAAGUUCACACUGUGACGGUAGCUUACCAGAAAGGGACGGCUAACUACGUGCCAGCAGCCGCGGUAAUACGUAGGUCCCGAGCGUUGUCCGGAUUUAUUGGGCGUAAAGCGAGCGCAGGCGGUUUGAUAAGUCUGAAGUUAAAGGCUGUGGCUCAACCAUAGUUCGCUUUGGAAACUGUCAAACUUGAGUGCAGAAGGGGAGAGUGGAAUUCCAUGUGUAGCGGUGAAAUGCGUAGAUAUAUGGAGGAACACCGGUGGCGAAAGCGGCUCUCUGGUCUGUAACUGACGCUGAGGCUCGAAAGCGUGGGGAGCGAACAGGAUUAGAUACCCUGGUAGUCCACGCCGUAAACGAUGAGUGCUAGGUGUUGGAUCCUUUCCGGGAUUCAGUGCCGCAGCUAACGCAUUAAGCACUCCGCCUGGGGAGUACGACCGCAAGGUUGAAACUCAAAGGAAUUGACGGGGGCCCGCACAAGCGGUGGAGCAUGUGGUUUAAUUCGAAGCAACGCGAAGAACCUUACCAGGUCUUGACAUCCCGAUGCUAUUUCUAGAGAUAGAAAGUUACUUCGGUACAUCGGUGACAGGUGGUGCAUGGUUGUCGUCAGCUCGUGUCGUGAGAUGUUGGGUUAAGUCCCGCAACGAGCGCAACCCCUAUUGUUAGUUGCCAUCAUUCAGUUGGGCACUCUAGCGAGACUGCCGGUAAUAAACCGGAGGAAGGUGGGGAUGACGUCAAAUCAUCAUGCCCCUUAUGACCUGGGCUACACACGUGCUACAAUGGUUGGUACAACGAGUUGCGAGUCGGUGACGGCAAGCUAAUCUCUUAAAGCCAAUCUCAGUUCGGAUUGUAGGCUGCAACUCGCCUACAUGAAGUCGGAAUCGCUAGUAAUCGCGGAUCAGCACGCCGCGGUGAAUAUGUUCCCGGGCCU